GCCGGGCGUGUUGGUGCACGCCUGUAAUCCCUGCAGCUUGGGAAGCUGAGGCAGGAGGAUUGCUAGUUAGCACCUCAGCAAAAGUGAGGUGCUAAGCAACCCAGCAAGACCCUUUUUCUA
rnacentral:sRNA from 1 species